rnacentral:rRNA from 1 species
UACGUAGGGGGCUAGCGUUGUCCGGAUUUAUUGGGCGUAAAGAGCUCGUAGGUGGUUUGGUAAGUCGGAUGUGAAAUCUCCAGGCUCAACCUGGAGGGGUCAUUCGAUACUGCCAUGACUAGAGUUCGGUAGGGGAGUGUGGAAUUCCUGGUGGAGCGGUGAAAUGCGUAGAUAUCGGGAGGAACACCUGUGGCGAAAGCGGCUCACUGGACCACAACUGACGCUGAGGCGCGAAAGCUAGGGGAGCAAACAGG